ACAUCAGUCAAGUAUGUUUGCAGUAGCCGACAUAGCGAAUUGUUUGUAUGUGUAAACCACACCUGUUAAUGAUUGUUAGAAUGAAUGUUUAUAAGACUGAGAGAACACAGAUAAAACCAGAGGUAUUUGUAGUGACACUAGAAGCGUGUAUCUGUGUAUAUUCUCCGGACGUCCGAAGGGAAAGCAGGGUGCAGAAGAAAGACCCUUUCAGUGAGGGGGAUGAAGAAAACCAGCAAUAUGACCCUUCUCCAGAAUGAGCCACCAAGGGUGGACAGGAAGGAGAUCAGCAGAAGGAUAUUAGACCUCACCUUGGAGAUCAUCUCCCUGCUGAGCGGAGAGGAGUACACAAUAGUGAAGAAGACAUCUGGGGACUGUGUGACUCCCGUCAUCCAUCUCCA